GGUCGUCUUCAGGUUCGCGGCCAGCCCGCAGAGGCAGCACGCCACGGAAACGACGGCGAGGGGGAACGUAAAUGUCCUGCGCUGUAGAGAGCACCUGGAGAAGGCUCCUUGGUCAUCCCACCGCUUCUUUUCUUGGACCUGGCAGUGUCAGGUUUGCAGCUGGACUCGAAGGAUGCGUCCAACCUAAAUGAUUCUAAGAUUCAGUGAUUCCCCCAGACCACUGUGUAGAGUUCCCCCUAUGCCUAUCACAUUUUCUCUGUCCUUUGUUUCUUCCUAAGGCAGCUUGAGUCUAUAUAUAUCAUGAUCAGUGGACUCUCUGCAAAUAAAAGUUUAUUUGUGUAAA